rnacentral:tRNA from 1 species
GCGCCCGUAGCUCAACUGGAUAGAGCAUCGGUUUCCGGUUCCGAAGGCUGGAGGUUCGACCCCUCUCGGGCGUA